AGGUCAAUGAUGAGAGCUCAUAAUUGUCCUGAAGAGAGAUGAUGACUUAAAAAAAAAAGAGCGAGUAAAAGACAGAGAACU